rnacentral:lncRNA from 10 species
UUUCUUCUACUUUUAUUUCUAGUCUUUCCGUUUCCUGGAAAAUGCCCGUUUUUCUAAGAUUGAGAAAAAAAAUUAAAAUACUGGUCUCUCGCAUACCUACUUUCCAACUAGGAAGUUGGUUCUUACACUAUUUCUUUCUUUUUAUAGUACUUCUUUCCAUUUUAACCAUAUAGGGUGACUAUAGAUGUGUGUGUGUGUGUGUGUCUGUGUGUGUGUGUGUGUGUGUGUGUGUGUGUGUGUGUACCACUUAGGUUUUAAGUAUCUGGAGGGCAGAAAUGUAUCAUUUAGGCAUUUGGUUCAUGUUACAGUACAUUGUGUGAAUACUUGACAAGAGUUUUACCUGGCUAGGUGAUUGAGCUUUUUUCUUUUAGGUAAGCAAUUAUAAAAGGACAGUUAUUACUUAUCAUUGUUUCAUUACCUAAUAAGUGCCUAUCCAAAGAAUAUAGGCAUCCUAUCUGAAGGUGGGUCUCAAUGUGUUCGAAUGGGUGCAUGUUUAAGUGGGCUGGAGAACUCACAUUGAUCAUAGGCUAUGGCUGACUUGACAAAAAGGAGUAUAGACCAAAGGCAUGUGCCCAAAAUAAAACUUCUUGUGAAAUUAUUCUUUAAAAAGCAUUAGCUGGAAAUUUGGUUGAAUAAGUCUGCAAUAACGGCAUUAGAUCUUUUUGUAUUAACUGGCCCUUCAGUAGUAAAUGUGUAAGACCCUUACUUUAAAUUUAUCCAGUGUCUUGAAAAUGCAUUAUUGGGUUCAUAUAGAAAAACAACUUGACUUUUCUCAAUAGUCUGUUUAAGUAUAUAUAGAUUCUUCUGUAGUAUGAACUUUUGGGGCAUAUGUGGAUAAUUGUGAGAUUCUCUUAUGUUUUUAGUUUUUCCAUCUGAAACAGAAAACCACAAUCCUUCUUCACCUUGUCAGUCAGUUAACUGCUACAAUUAGAUGAGCGAACCUGAAACUCACUUACGGUUCCUAUUGACAGUCCUGAAAAGAUAUGUUUGAAAAUGUCUUCUUUGAGCAGUCCAAAGUUUCACAUGCUGUAUACCUCUGUGCUCUCUCUUUCUCCCUUCAUGCCCUUGUUCCUGCUGUUUUCUCUGAAUCAUCCUUCCCUCUUAUCUUCAUCUAACUGUUGCUCACUCAUUAAUGUAUCAACUCCUUCACAAUGCCUUCCUGACUACUCUUCAGGACCGUCACCCUCCUGAAGGGGUAAGAUUUCCUCCAUGGUUUGGGGCCUCAUGAUCAAAACAACUGCUUCUGCACCUUAACCUUUUACAAGGCCAUCCAAAAUAAAGAGUACAUGUGUAGCUUUUUUUGCAGCUGGUUGGUUGUGUUGAUAUGACUUUGUUCUGGCUUCUAGAACAAAAAGAGUAUGUGCUUCUAGGUUUUUCUCUUAAAAGGAUAUCCUUCCCUUGCUCCCUUUUCCUUUCCCAGUUGUGGGAAAGUAAGGGCUGGGCAUCAUUUGCAAGAUGGAAGCCACAUAUUGUGAAGGUUGGAGCACUGAU